rnacentral:tRNA from 1 species
GGUGGCUCAGUGGUAGAGCGCUCGCCUGGCAUGCUUGAAGCCCUGGGUUCGAUUCCUCAGCACCA